AAGGAUUUAAUUGAAAUCUAAAUGAAACUCGAGGUAUAAGUUGCAAAAAAUAAAAAUAGGCUAAUAAGGACUACAAAGUUAUGCGCUAAAAAGAACAGGGAUUGAAAAGGGAAAUAUCCCUUGUCCUUAUGCGCGCCUUUUAUCAGAUGGAACAAAAUAAAAUAGAAAUGAAAUUAUAUGGUAAAAUUUAGAAAUAAAUAAAAGGCGGAAGGGCCGAAUCCGCAAAUAACCCAUUAGAUAUGAAAACACGCGGAUCUUGG
rnacentral:lncRNA from 1 species